rnacentral:rRNA from 1 species
UACGUAGGGACCGAGCGUUGUCCGGAAUCAUUGGGCGUAAAGAGCGUGUAGGCGGCCACUUAAGUCCUGCGUGAAAUCUUGCGGCUCAACCGCAAGCGGUCGUGGGAAACUGGGUGGCUAGAGUGCGGGAGAGGAGAGUGGAAUUCCUGGUGUAGCGGUGGAAUGCGCAGAUAUCAGGAAGAACACCCGUGGCGAAGGCGGCUCUCUGGAACGCAACUGACGCUGAGACGUGAAAGCGUGGGGAGCAAACAGG